AAAAUUUUAGUUUAAAUAAAACAUUUCUUUUACAUUGAAAAGAUUAAAAUUAUGUUUAAAAUUUUA
rnacentral:tRNA from 1 species